rnacentral:rRNA from 1 species
CCUACGGGAGACUGCAGUGAGGAAUAUUGGUCAAUGGCCGAGAGUCUGAACCAGCCAAGUAGCGUGAAGGAUGACUGCCCUAUGGGUUGUAAACUUCUUUUAUAUGGGAAUAAAACGUUCCACGUGUGGGAUUUUGUAUGUACCAUAUGAAUAAGGAUCGGCUAACUCCGUGCCAGCAGCCGCGGUAAUACGGAGGAUCCGAGCGUUAUCCGGAUUUAUUGGGUUUAAAGGGAGCGUAGGUGGAUUGUUAAGUCAGUUGUGAAAGUUUGCGGCUCAACCGUAAAAGUGCAGUUGAAACUGGCAGUCUUGAGUACAGUAGAGGUGGGCGGAAUUCGUGGUGUAGCGGUGAAAUGCUUAGAUAUCACGAAGAACUCCGAUUGCGAAGGCAGUUCACUGGACUGCAACUGACACUGAGGCUCGAAAGUGUGGGUAUCAAACAGGAUUAGAUACCCUAGUAGUC